GGACUCCAUCCAAACUUCCAUAGCGGAUGGAUCCCGAAUGAGCUUCUACAACAGACGGGCUCCAGCAGCUGGAUUUCUACAACGGCCGAUCACCUCCGGUGUCUGCCGAACCUCCCCAUCCAUCAACCUUCAAUAGCGUCAGCCAGACUUCAGCAACACCAUCCAGACUUCCACAGGAUCCCCAGACUCCCCCAGCGGACAAACCUCCCCAA
rnacentral:lncRNA from 1 species